UACGGGGGGGGCAAGCGUUGUUCGGAAUUACUGGGCGUAAAGGGCUCGUAGGCGGCCAACUAAGUCAGACGUGAAAUCCCUCGGCUUAACCGGGGAACUGCGUCUGAUACUGGAUGGCUUGAGGUUGGGAGAGGGAUGCGGAAUUCCAGGUGUAGCGGUGAAAUGCGUAGAUAUCGGGAGGAACCCCAGUGGCGAAGGCGGCUUGCUGGGCUACUCCUGACACUGAUGUACGAAAGCGUGGGGAGCGAACAGG
rnacentral:rRNA from 1 species